UACGAAGGGGGCUAGCGUUGUUCGGAAUUAUUGGGCGUAAAGGGCGCGUAGGCGGUGCGGUAAGUCACCUGUGAAAUCUCUGGGCUCAACUCAGAGUCUGCAGGCGAAACUGCCGUGCUGGAGUAUGGGAGAGGUGCGUGGAAUUCCCGGUGUAGCGGUGAAAUGCGUAGAUAUCAGGAGGAACACCGGUGGCGAAGGCGGGUCUCUGGGCCGAUACUGACGCUGAGGAGCGAAAGCGUGGGGAGCGAACAGG
rnacentral:rRNA from 1 species